rnacentral:rRNA from 1 species
AUGGUGAUUUUUCCUACUUAUACUGGUAUGCUCACAUCAAUCGACGGAUUGGAGCGAGGAGAAAGCUCAAAAGGGCGAAAGCGUGCACGUGAAGCAAUAAGAUAUGCUAGCCGUACACCAGAGCAAAUCCAAGCAAGGCGAGAACGUGUUAGAGCACGUCGGCAAAAUUUGACACCUAAGGAGAAGGAAGAGAUUAAUGCACGAAGAAGAGAGAAACGACAACGUAUGACACUUGAAGAGAGAAAUGCAAGCCAGCGAGCAUGUAGGCAAAGUUUGACACUAGAGGAGAGGCAAGAAAGAAAUGCACGCCAACGAGCGCGUCGGCAAAGCCUGCCACCGGAAGAGCGGCGGGCACUUCUAGCUCAACGUAAUGCAAGUUAUGCAUCUAGACGAGAUACCCCAUGCAUGGAUUCCAUUGUAUCAAAUUGCCCUAUGGGUUCAUUGCUGGGACAUGCAUCAUCAAGCUCUUAUGCCUUUAGUUACCCAAGUACACUGACUCAAACUUUUUCUACAAUUCAAGGUAAUCUAGAAAGCAUACCUGAAGGAAUGGAAGAUGAUCACAUAGUUUUCACUAGCAAAGGUGACGCUAAUACUGUCCAGUGCAAGGAACUCACAUCGGUGCAAUGUCCAACAUCUACAUCAGUGGACAGUUCAUCAUUGGCCCCUGAUGACUCCAUAUGCCCAGGUUCCCCAACGGAAAGCUUUAAUGUGGAUGAUGAUUUUUCUCAUAUGACCGAAGAAGAAGAUGAUGAGUACUUCGCAUUUGCUGGGAGAGGGAACACUGAAGAUUGCGAUGACAUGGUAGAUGCUUUUACAACAGACAACAUUGUUCCUGACCCAUAUGACUGUGUUUACCAGAAUAUACCAAAAAGUACUCACACGCUGGUGCCAAAGCCUGAUUGCAAGCAUUGCGGCGCAAAGAGGUUCCAGUAUGAGACAAAUGGAUUUUGUUGCCAGUCUGGAAAAAUUAAGUUAGCACAGUCAGAACCACCCUUGGAACUUCAGAUGUUGUACACAAGUUCAGAUAGUGAUGCUGUACAUUUUAGGGAUAACAUUCGCUACUUCAAUGGCCACUUUUCAUUCACCACUCUUGGAGUCAGUCUUGACAAUAGAUACACAAACAUGAGGUCAGGAGUCUAUACAUUCCGAGCCCAUGGUCAGAUUUACCACAACAUCUUCUCAUUUGGUCCAACACAAGAUGGACCUAAGCAUCUAGAGUUAUACUUCUACGAUGAUGACCCGAGUCUACAACAUAGGUUUCGGCGCUCCCCGAACCUAGACCGAGAUGUUAUUCGAAGGCUUGUCAACAUCCUUAAGGAUAAUCCUUAUUCUGAAACAUUCAGGAAUCUAGGUGGAGUCGAUGACCUUGAGGAUUAUCGUAUUGAACUGAACACCGACAUGAGGUUGGACCAAGGAGAUAUAACUUGCCUAUAUCAUCAGAGGUUGCAGCUAUUUGGGUUGAGGGUAAUGAACUAUGUAAGCAUUUUGACCGUAGCAUUGUCCUGUUUGGUAAUGACAACAAGAGAUAUAGCAUCCAACCAUAUUAUGGAUGCUAUGAUCCAUUGUCUUACCCUUUGUUCUUCCCAAGAGGGGAGAUUGGUUGGCAUCCUGAGAUCCCAAAGAACGGUGUCAGCUUGA